rnacentral:rRNA from 1 species
GGUCAAGCUACUAAGGGCAUGCGUGUGGAUGCCUUGGCGCAAGUAGGCGAAGAAGGACGUGGCUAGCUGCGAAAAGCCUCGGGGAGAUGCAAGCAAUCUAUUAUCCGGGGAUAUCCG